rnacentral:rRNA from 1 species
CAGUCGCCACGGUAAUACGGAGGGUGCAAGCGUUAAUCGGAAUUACUGGGCGUAAAGCGCACGCAGGCGGUCUGACAAGUCAGAUGUGAAAUCCCCGGGCUUAACCUGGGAACUGCAUUUGAAACUGUCAGGCUGGAGUCUUGUAGAGGGGGGUGGAAUUCCAGGUGUAGCGGUGAAAUGCGUAGAGAUCUGGAGGAAUACCGGUGGCGAAGGCGGCCCCCUGGACAAAGACUGACGCUCAGGUGCGAAAGCGUGGGGAGCAAACAGGAUUAGAUACCCCUGAGUCCCUGUCUCUUAUACA